CUAGGAGGCUGGCGUUCUGCCUCCGAGCUUCCCUGGCUCACUGGCCCGGGAGACCGGCAGUGCCCGGGGAGGAAAGUGCCCAGCGGGACUGGCUUCCAACAGAGCCUACUGUUUGCCACUCUGUGAGGGCAUGAGGGGAGUGGAGGAAAAAAGACAGUGCCUGCCCUCAAAGGAGCUUACUCUGGAGUGGGGGCAACCGUCAAGUAAACCAGAAUGAAAAUACAGGAGCACAGAGAAGCAUCUAAGUCCCGCUGGGGACCUGGGAGGAUUUGAGGAAGAGGUGGCACUUGAAUUGUAUGUUAAAGGUUGAGGAGUCAUCACACACCGGAGGGGGAAGGGCACGCAGGCAGAAAGACCGGCCUUUGCAAAAGCGUGGAAGCACACGGUGCCAAAGAAUCACAGGUGCCUCUUUCCUCCGGACGGAAUCACGGCCCGUGUCACCUGUGGACAGCUGUAGCUCACUGGAAAAGACCUGAUACUGAGCUGAAACCUGCCCUUCUGGAGCUCCCACUUCUUGGGAACAAAUGUAUAUCCCUCACCUAGUAUCUUGAGCCGGAGGCUCACGAGAGCCCAGGAGCGAAAGGGUUCGAUGGUUGUACUCUUAUGUGAAACAGUGGGUCCACAAUUCGAGCGCCAAAUAGUAAGUAAAACAACUGUCCGAACCCUCUCUCUCAUCCUGGCCCGACGUGAGUUAGGCUUCGCGGCUUGCUCGGUUACCGGAAGGGCGGAACCAUUCUACCUUACCCACGUAGAACUGCACAGACGGGAACACCCCAGCACAAAGUAGGGAAACGUGAGCUUUGG